AAUUUUUCAAUAUUUUGUCUGGACUGAAUGAAUGAAUAUUCUUUCAAAUUAAAUUUUUGUUUAUAAAAAAAGAAAGAACAAACAAUUUUUUAUCAAACUUCACUCCUUUAUAUUAAAUUCUGAUUACCCCCGUAUACGAGUUAAAAAUCAACUCAAAAUAAGUUGGCAACAAAUCGAAAGGAACAAGUAAGAUCAGUUUUUACGAAAUUCCCCAAAAGGAAAAAAAUUUCUUUCCAAAACAAAAUUUUAGAAUUGCUACAAAAAUUAUGUAGUUCACAAUAAAAUAUAAAUUAUGUAUGUGUGUUCUAAUCUUAAUAUACAAAUAAUGGACCGAGAGAAGUUUAAAUACUUGGAACAGUCGGUUGAAGGGAAUGUCAGGCCUGUGGCAGCUUUGGUAAACCAUAUAUUUUAAGGGACUCAAGAAAUCUGAGAUAAGAUCUCCUGGCUCAAAUUCAGAUCCUACCAUGAACUCUCAAGAUAUCCAGAUUUGUACCCAACUGAACACCUGGGACAUAUAAACGGUAGAAGAUUGAGAUACAAUCAAAAAAAAUCUAUAGGGCUCAAAUCUGGACUAUAAAGUGGCCAGUUAACAUUUCCAUUAUUGCCUGUCCAUAUAGGAAAUGCAUUCUUUGAAUAAUUCUGUACGAAUAAGGAGGUGUUCUAUCCUACAUCCAAAUCAUAUGAUCAAGCUGGGUAGGUAUUGGAGCACUUGAGACCAGCCCCUCCACUCCACUUUUCAUAAGUCACGUGACCACGCCUUCUCGCAUAUGAUUGGCUCCUUAUAUGAUAUCUGUAAAAUGAAGCAAAUAAGUUUUGGUAAGAUGGCGCUACUGGUGAAGUAAGAGAUAUGGUAAGAUGGCGCUACCGGUGAACAUGGAAAGAUGGCGGCGGCGGUAUCGUAAGGUUAUGUGCGAAUUUUCGCGUCAACCCGCAGCGUAACGUAAUGGUUCGGGGCUCUUGUAAUUUCGAGGGUAUGAUCAAAUAUAUUUUGCUUUUAACAAUAUGUUAGGUAAUAUUAACCUAAUUUUCUUUUCAAGCGCAGAGGUAGCAAAGCUGCAUGUUUUUCUUAUAGGUUCACCCCAUUCUGCGCAACCAAAAAGCGUUCACCCCUCGUGGAUUCCUUAGCGUUUAUGCAUUGUUCAUCCAUAUAAUAAUAAUAACAGGUAUGUCUUAAUUUACAGAGGAAACAUUAAGGACGUAAUGGCAUUGUACAGAGUGUGUGUAAAAAUCAGAACGAAAUGUAAUGGUAAAUUAUUAUAUAUGAGGUGUAAAAUCGAACGAAAUUUAUCGUAAUGGGACGUUAAAGACAAAUCGUAAUGGUAAAAAAUAAUAUAUUCCAUUGUUAUAAUCUAAAGUAAUAUUAAAAUAAUACACAAAACAGAUUAUUAUGUAUGAGGUGUAAAAUCGGACGAAAUUUAUCGUAAUGGAACGUUAAUUGUAAUUGUAAAAAAAUAAUAUAUUGCAUUGUUAUAAUCUGAAGUAAUAUUAAAAUAAUACACCUUUUUAAAUUGAAAUAUUUUAUUUAUAUAUAAUAGCUCUUAAAAGGUCCAGAGUGUAGAUGAGCAGCCGUGAAAAUAAUACCCUUGAAAUUCAAAGACUAGAUUCCAACGAAACCGUCAAUUUUAACCCCCUAUCGUCUACACCCGUGCACUCUGGACCUUUCAAGAGCGUGGAAUAUUCUAAAUUCAUUGUGGGUGUAAUCAGUAAUUUUGAAUCAAUAAAAUUGUAUCAGGUAUAAUCUAGUAAAUACAAUUGAAAAGACAGGGGCCCAAAAUAUAUAUAUUAAGGUAGAGAGAAGUUUCAAAUUGACAUCCUGUAUAUGAAGAAUAUUCUAAAUUCACUUCUAACAUAUAUCCCCUGUCAAUUAUCCGAUAUUGAGGUGACAUCUAUGUUUGUCUCGAUCCACUCAAAUCCUCCGUAAGGUAGAAAUUCACACAUUGCCAACCGUAUAAGCUAUUUACAUCCAAUUACAUUAAAUAUGUAUCUGCUUUGAAUUAUAUUCGGUAUUUGUUGUUUGCUUAUAUCUAUGAAUCCUAAAAAAUAUUACUUAAAACUUAAGUAUCAUAUGAAUAGCCAAAAACGUUUCUAUUAAAGAUAUUUCUACACAAAAAAUAUAAAAUGUAUAAAAGAUGAUUGGUUCAAAGAAACUAUUAUUAUAUAAAAAUACCUUCCUCUUCUACGUAAUCACGUAUAUCCAUUGUUGUUGUAUCAUCAAUAUCAAAAUAGAAUUUGGUUAUUGAAUCAACAACAACGAUAAAUACCAUUGUAAACAUCAAAACGCCAAAUUUUGCGUUAAAAUGUUCAGUUAAUAGUAUAAUUGGAGAGUACGAGUCGCGUGAUCAGUCAUUUUUUUUAUUAAUUCAUAAUAUACUAACCAAAAAGUUCCAGUAGCAGCAGCAGCUUUACGAUUGGGGUGUCAAAUUGGUUUCGUGGUAGGUGUACUAUGGAAUUGCGUCUUCUUCUUAUGGCAUAGGGUGUGAAUCAAAAAAUAAACAUUCCAGUCCUUCAAAACAUUCUUUACCUAAAACUGAAAUGGUAUACGUGAGAAUAAAUCUCAGUAUGAGUCUUCAUUUCAGUUACGUUAUUACACAUAAAAACCAGUCUCUAGCGAUUGUGCCUACCCCUUGCCAAGGGGUUGGUUACCGCAAUCGUAAAGGAGGUACGAAGGUUUUCUACGCAUAAUAACGUAAAAUAAUAAAUUUAUUUGUUAUUGAAUAUUUAUUAUAAAAUAGAACCAAGUGGAACACGAUGCUCUGAAAAAAAUCACUAUGAUAAUUAUUAUGUAGUUUUUCAUCAUAAUCUAAAUCUACUUCUAAAUUCAAAAUGUAAUUACCUCGUUAACCGCAGCGUUUUUAUGCGGUUAUUAUUGUGAGGAAUGCCAUGUUCCUUAUAACGAAAAAAUGAAACAUCGAUGUGGAGGAACUUGAUCAUAAUCUAAAUUUACUUCUAAAUUCAGAAGACACAAGAGGAGUAUGUCUGUUUUCAUAUUCAUUGCAUUGGUCAAGCGAAUAUAUAUUUAAACUCUUCCAUUCCUUAAUAACAUGAAUAUACUUUUUCAGAUGAAAUAUGUCUGUAAAAAUACUUCGAAAAUCAUAUACAAUUUGGUAUUUGCGAACAAAUAAGACGAUGUGAAGAUUGUUUUAAAAUUCUCCGUUUAAACCGUUAAUAAAGAAAUCAAUGACCCAUGUUGAAAGAUCUUGAAGAAUUCCAAGAACGUGAUAGUGGGUGGGCUUUGAGGAAAAUAAUACCUCUGGAAAUUGCUAUAAAUAAAUUAGAAAUCGGGAAUGGCUUAUCAUAUAUUGAGUUACCAUCAUAAAAAGAAGGAGGCAUGUGUCAAUGUUAAGAACCAUGAUAAUGCAUGCUUCGCCUGGGCAGUGACUUCAGCGUUGUAUCCUAAUAUGUAUCACAGAGAUAGAAUAUCAUCAUAUCCGCAUUACUUGAAAGUUUUGAAUUUGAAGGGAAUUCAAUUCCCUAUGCUCGCUAAGCAAAUAUCUAAUUUCGAAAAACAAAACAACAUUUCUAUUAAUGUUUACAUCCUUCAGAAAAAUAAAAAAUCUUUUGAAACUCUUCCAACUUACCUAACUAAAGAUAAGAAAGAUCAACAUGUAAACCUGCUUCUAAUUCAAAAUUGAUAUGAUGAUACUGAAGGACCAAUUCUUUAUCAUUAUGUAUGGGUCAAGAAUCUGUCCAGUCUACUUUCGAAACAACUAAGUAAAAAAGAUCAUGCAAAAUACUUUUGUGAUUGAAGUCUGCAUUACUUUAUAACUGAAGAAGAAACACUCUUGAUCAAUUUUGGGAAUUAAUCCAUAACUUUGAUCUUCUUAUAUUGAUUUACCUCCACAAAUCAAAAAGAAGGAAGCAUGUAUAAAUGUUAGGAAUGAAGAUCAGGCAUGCUUCGCCUGGGCUGUUCUCUAUCCUGAUGUUCAUAAUACAGAUAGAACUUCAUCAUAUCCCCACUAUUCUUCAGUUUUGAAACUAAAAGCCAUUCAGUUUCCUAUGACAUUAAUAUUUUAACGAAAACAUAAAAAAUGUUUUUAAAACGUUACCAACAUACCAUUCAAAAGAUAAGAAACAUAAACAUGUAAAUUUGUUUUCUAACUCAAGACAGAUAACAUCUAUAUUCUUCAAACGAUUAGUGGUAAACAUUUAAGAUAAAUUGAAUACAAUAUUUUAUAAGAUAAAAAUGUUUGAUUCUAUUUAAGACAUUUUACAAAAUGGAUGCAAUUGUAAUGCUACCAAGUUUCUGCAACAAAGUUCUUCCUCAGAAAAUUCCUAAAACCGAAAGAGGAUACAGAUUCAAAGACAAUCAAUCGAAAAUAUCUCUUCGGUUACCCCGUUUUGGUAGGAAACAAACACUCUCUUGUAGUUCGAUGAAAAUUGAUGGUUUCGUUGGAAUCUAGUCUUUGAAUUUCAAGGGUGUUAUUUACACGGUUGCCCUCGCAUACAUAUAGAAAACAUGUAACCCUAACUUAUCCUACUUUAAAAUUCGUGUAUACAUAAAACUUAUCCUAAUUGUUUAAAUAAAACUGGGUUAAAAUUGGUGUAUGGAUAAAAAAAGUUUUGUAUAAAUAAAAGAUUAAAAUUAUGUAUAUAUAAAAAGCUAAAAAUUCAAGAACUUUUAUAAAUAAAAUCGAUAAAAAAAUAA